rnacentral:rRNA from 1 species
AAGACCUCGCGUUAUUGGAGCGGCCGAUGCCGGAUUAGCUAGUUGGUGGGGUAAAGGCUCACCAAGGCGACGAUCCGUAGCUGGUCUGAGAGGACGACCAGCCACACUGGGACUGAGACACGGCCCAGACUCCUACGGGAGGCAGCAGUGGGGAAUUUUGGACAAUGGGGGAAACCCUGAUCCAGCCAUGCCGCGUGAGUGAAGAAGGCCUUCGGGUUGUAAAGCUCUUUCGCAAGGAAAGAAAUCCUAUCCGCUAAUACCGGGUGGGGAUGACGGUACCUUGAUAAGAAGCACCGGCUAACUACGUGCCAGCAGCCGCGGUAAUACGUAGGGUGCGAGCGUUAAUCGGAAUUACUGGGCGUAAAGCGUGCGCAGGCGGUUUCGUAAGUCUGAUGUGAAAUCCCCGGGCUCAACCUGGGAACU